AUUGAACGCUGGCGGCAGGCCUAACACAUGCAAGUCGAGCGGAUGAAGGGAGCUUGCUCCUGGAUUCAGCGGCGGACGGGUAAGUAAUGCCUAGGAAUCUGCCUGGUAGUGGGGGAUAACGUCCGGAAACGGGCGCUAAUACCGCAUACGUCCUGAGGGAGAAAGUGGGGGAUCUUCGGACCUCACGCUAUCAGAUGAGCCUAGGUCGGAUUAGCUAGUUGGUGGGGUAAAGGCCUACCAAGGCGACGAUCCGUAACUGGUCUGAGAGGAUGAUCAGUCACACUGGAACUGAGACACGGUCCAGACUCCUACGGGAGGCAGCAGUGGGGAAUAUUGGACAAUGGGCGAAAGCCUGGUCCAGCCAUGCCGCGUGUGUGAAGAAGGUCUUCGGAUUGUAAAGCACUUUAAGUUGGGAGGAAGGGCAGUAAGUUAAUACCUUGCUGUUUUGACGUUACCAACAGAAUAAGCACCGGCUAACUUCGUG
rnacentral:rRNA from 1 species